UGUCUUCAGUUCAUGGACUGGCUGAGGAUGCUCCAUUGAGCUGAGCCAAAACAGAAAUUACAAAAACCCAACCCUGGACUGGUGCAGAACCUUGACUGAUUACCCAGCAAUCCUGUGCAGGAAACUACCUCCUAUCAAGUGAAAUUUAAUAAGGCAGAUUCUGACAAGAGUCCACUGCGCUGAAUUGACUACUCACUAAUGCGGAGGAGCACGAAGACCAAAGGAUGUACGGAACAAUGCAAAAAAAGAAAAUUAAGAGUAGUAAUGAAAGACUGUAACCCAUUUGUGAGGGAUACAAAUGGUAGUAAGCCAUAGAGAUCAAUGUUGGGAUCAUUUUUCUUUUGAAUAUGUAUAAUUUGGUCUUAACAAAUGUAUUUCAAAAUAAUGAAGAAGGUACUACCCUAUUGAACACUGUUGUCUACCAUGCUAUUGGGUUUGUGCUGCAGCUUGUCAGAAAUGAAUUAAUGAAGAAAUAAAGGGAGAAUGAAUAGUGAGCAA